AACGUGUCGCCUUGUUUCCCUCUCCCCAGUGCGGAAUGUCGUCCCAUUGAGUCAGCGUUCCGGAACGUUCCAUCCUCACGCUGCAAAGCACCGACCCACCUUCCCCUUGGAAGUGCCGAUCGGGAUGGUACCUCAGUGCUAACCGGGGAGGAUCGAUAAGGAGACCCCUCCUUCACACCCAACCCCGAGAGAGGACAUGGAGGUCAAAGGGUCCCUCACGACGACAGCGACGGGCAACCUCGGCGCUCUUGGCUCCCAGCGGUACACCAGGGCCGUGAAGGUGAGUACGGACAGGGUGAAGGAGUUGGCAGAGCGACAGCGGGCCAUCGAGGAGAUGCUGAGGAGGAAGAUGGCCGAGCUGAGGGAGCUCUGCCUGCAGGAAGCGGUGAGUGUGAUGAUCCCAACA